rnacentral:rRNA from 1 species
UGGCGAACGGGUGAGUAGUACGUGAGUAACCUGCCCCUACUUUGGGAUAAGCCUUGGAAACGGGGUCUAAUACUGGAUAUUCCUGGUCUGCCGCAUGGUGGGUGGGAAAGUUUUUCGGUGGGGGAUGGGCUCGCGGCCUAUCAGCUUGUUGGUGGGGUGAUGGCCUACCAAGGCGUCGACGGGUAGCCGGCCUGAGAGGGUGACCGGCCACACUGGGACUGAGACACGGCCCAGACUCCUACGGGAGGCAGCAGGUGGGGGAUAUUACACAAUGGGCGCAAGCCUGAUGCAGCGACGCCGCGUGAGGGAUGACGGCUUUCGGGUUGUAAACCUCUUUCGCUACCGAACAAGGCUCCAUAUUGGUGGGGUUGAGGGUAGGUGGAUAAGAAGCGCCGGCUAACUACGUG